rnacentral:rRNA from 1 species
UACGUAGGGGGCUAGCGUUGUCCGGAAUCAUUGGGCGUAAAGAGCGCGCAGGCGGCUGGUCAAGUCCGAUGUGAAAGCUCCCGGCUUAACUGGGAAAUUGCAUCGGAAACUGAUCGGCUGGAAGGUGGGAGAGGGUAGCGGAAUUCCCGGUGUAGUGGUGAAAUGCGUAGAUAUCGGGAGGAACACCAGUGGCGAAAGCGGCUACCUGGCCCAUUCUUGACGCUGAGGCGCGAAAGCUAGGGGAGCAAACGGG